rnacentral:rRNA from 1 species
CCUACGGGAGGCAGCAGUGAGGAAUAUUGGUCAAUGGGCGGGAGCCUGAACCAGCCAAGCCGCGUGAGGGAAGAAGGUACUGCGUAUCGUAAACCUCUUUUGUCAGGGAAUAAAGGCGGGCACUAGUCCCCGGAUGAGUGUACCUGAAGAAUAAGCAUCGGCUAACUCCGUGCCAGCAGCCGCGGUAAUACGGAGGAUGCGAGCGUUAUCCGGAUUUAUUGGGUUUAAAGGGUGCGUAGGGGGCCUGUUAAGUCAGGCGUGAAAGGCCGGGGCUCAACCCCGCGCGAGCCGUUGAAACUGGCAGGCUGGAGUUGGAGAGAGGUACGCGGAAUGCGCGGUGUAGCGGUGAAAUGCUUAGAUAUCGCGCAGAACCCCGAUUGCGAAGGCAGCGUACCGGCUCCACACUGACGCUGAGGCACGAAAGCGUGGGUAUCGAACAGGAUUAGAUACCCGAGUAGUC